CUCCGAGCAGCAGGGGGAAAUAAUAGCUCGGUUUUAGUGUAUAAGCCUUAGUGUCUGUCAGGGCAAGAGCAGCUGGAAAGUGGUGGUGUGCCCUAGGUAGGCGCGCGCGAGGGGAAAUGAGGUUUAUCGUAAGGGUGGGACAACGUGUUGUCUUGUGCUAUCUCUAUAUGAAAUGAUGCUGUGAAGCAUGUGUGGAGGGGUGCUUUUGUCCUCUGUUGGCCCCCCUUGGGUUCCUCCAGGUGUGCUUUAUUUCUGCCAGAGGCAGCUCUGCGAAGGCCUUGCCUGCAGUAGAUGGUUGCCCUGGCCCCUGGUGCGGCCUCUUUCUCCUCCUCGCUGGGGUGGCCCUCACUUUCUGAGUGUGGAGAAACUGGGUGCUCAGUGAGAGCAGGUUGCCCCUUUUUCCUCCUGGAAAAGGUUUCUGGUUUGUAACUUCUACUGUGUUUCUCCCUGAGCACCUCCCCCCCCCCCACCUGUUUUAUUUACUUAUUUUAUUUCUCUUUUAUUAUUAUUUUCACCUUUAUUAUUAUUUCCAUAUGUGGGCCUCUGCCCUACACAAUAUUUCAUAUAAAGUGCUAGCCAUAGAGCCCCGAAUAGGGUUCUGGUACACUCAGGUGUAAGGGAAAUGGUGUAGUAAAGGGAAAUAGGAAAAUGCCAUAAAAUAGUUACCAAAAAGGAGAAGAAAGCAUGGAGGAAAUAGAAAGGCUAGGAGUGUGGACCUGAGACAAAGUGUUUGCUAUCUGCAAGAAGCUUGGAACAGCGAGCAGGGAGUUUCUAGUACAUUGGUGCCAUCGUUCAGGUUUCCCCAACGCCUUCUGCUGGAAGCUACGGCUGCAGCGAUUGCAUGGCACUCCCAGGCCACAUCUACCUUGAUACAGAAAGACAAGAAGACUGCCAGAAAGCAUUUGUAACUGAAGGACAGGACGGAUUUUAAGUCUCUGCAGGGGCUGCUUGUGACUUCAGGACAUUGCCUUGUGCAGUCGUCACCCAGCCGGGCGGCAGAAACCUCUCCCGAGCCUGCUGCACCACUGCCCUGGAAACUUCCCUCAUGGAUUUCUCUGGGGUGCUGUGCUGAACAAAAAAGAUGAUGGAUCAUUUAGAAGACAUCAUAUCUCAAGUAGCAAGCUGCAGAGAGCUGGACAGUGAGAUGUCUCUUUCUUUUCCUGCACCUGUCUCUUCACCUUCAAGAGCCACAAACGCUAUAUGUGCCAGUUUAUCACAAACUGAUGACAAAGAGGAGCGAGCAAUUGAUGGUCAAACUGUGGCUGCAAUGAAGGCAAUACCAACAGUACUAGAGCAAGAAAUCCCAGAGCAGCUUGACAGACAAAGACUUAUACAUGAGACAGGCAUACCUGCUUUGAAGCAUAUUUUGGAAGAUAUACAGCUGAAAGGACCAGGACAUGAGCAGCAGAAGAGACUGUGCAGAACACAGACGCGUCUGCAGUGUCUCAGGGUUGCAGGCGAUGUCUGCAUGAGUCCUGUGCAAUCCUAUUUCCUCAUACCCUUUACAAUACAGCCGUUCCGCUGCGCUGCAUUCAGGGCAGUGGGCAGCAUUUCCACCAUGUUAAAAAUUGUGAAUGCACAACUCCAUAAUGGAAACGAGCAUCCAGGACUUGACUUAAAGCAGAAUGGUGGUAACAAAUAACCAACUGCAUAUAACUGGACUUCAGGCUAUGGAAUUACAUUGGAAAGAGUGUGGCAACAUUUCCCACUUUCAGUUUUCUAGCCUGGCUGAAGACCUGCAAUUGUUGCUGCAGAAGAUUGAAUGCUGGGCCCAAAGCAUUUUCCCAGAAAUGAAAUUUGAAGAUUUUAUUAGCAAACUUGAAGAAUUUGAAGUGACAGAUUGGAUUUAGGUGCAACAGAAACUUUAGGCUAUUUAGUUAUUUUCCAAAAUGUACUUGUAAUAUGGGGGGAAUUGUUUUAAAGAAGUGAUAUUGGAAAAUUUUGAAUGAAAAAACAAGUCGUUUUUUCCUCCAGUGAUGAUAAUCCAUUAUAUUAAUUCCUACUAAAUGGUCUGCUGGCUUACAUGAUACUGUCCCUAAAUAAAUAUGGAUUUUAGCUAAACUGUGGAAUGCAGUUGUCUAAAAUGUAACCUCAGAGUCACUCUUCUAGAUUGAGAGGCUCAAAAUAAAAACUUACCAAAAAGACUGUUGAAAUUUUGAUCAUCUGUUGUUUUGUAUUCUGCAUGUAGUUAGUUACUGUUUAAGCAGCUAUUUCCUUCAAAAUGAUACCUUUCUGUGUCAGGACUCUGAAUUCAAAAGCAAAUUUUAAAUCCAUCAAUGCUGCACUGAUGAAGGAGAGAAAUUCUCUGCAGAAAUGUUGCCCAUGUAUUCAUUGUCUUUGGUUCUUAUGACCUUGAAGCAAAUUAUUGUGGACUUUUGGAGCUUAUGGAUAGUGAUUUCUGUAACACUACUUUCAGCAGUAUGUACAAACAUGGUAAAGCGUAUCUGAUUGAUUAUGUUGGUGGCUGUGUGCUUUUUAUGCCUUUAUUGUUCCAAGGGGUAUAACUAGGUUGGUUAUAUAAGCUCUGAACAGUUUCUCUCUUAUGCAAGUCUUCUGUGCUUGUAUUGACUUGACUGUUCUGUACAACACAAACUGGUUUACAAUCUAGCAGAGAAAAAUAAAAAAUCGAGUACGUUGAAAGAUGUUCAGUUUCCAAAAAUGGAUGCAUGACUUUUAGCAUGUAAAACCAGAGUACUGAACUUGAGUUGAACUGAACUCAUUUUUUUGCAUUAAACAGGUUUCAGAGACUGAAUAGCCAGUCAACAGGAAGAUAAUUCUAGUCAACUUUUUUCCCCAAACCUCUCAUUAUAAAUAGUUUUUGUACAGCUAUAAAGCUUGCUGUAAUGCUUGAAUGGUUUGUGGUGGUAGCUCAGCAGAACCUGGUACCUUGCUGAUUUGAAUGCUUUGGGACUGUAUUGCCAUUUAGAGUGGAGAAACUUCAUUAUACUGCAUUAUACUGCAUAUUCUUCAAAUGCAUUGUCUAGCUUUUUAAGUGACAAUGACUUUUUAGCUUGAGACAAAGAAAAGAAACAGAAACAUCAAAACAUUUUUGCUAAAGAUGAAAUGUUUGAAGAAUUGGCAACACAGCUAAUGCUGAACUGUUCAGAUUAGCUGUUUAUUUUAUUCUGUCUAUCGCUGCCUGCCUUUUACUGGAGAUAAAUGCAGUAUUACAUUGAUAUAUUUUGAGUAUCUUUACUUGUCAUCUAUACUUGACUGUAUUUUGGAGUGAUAUGAAGAAACCACUUUCUGGCUUCUGUCCCCAGCCUUGAUGCUCUCCUCGGAGCUGCUGUUAACAGGUGGAAAGGCUGCAUCAUUUAUGAGGGUGUUCUGAAUUGCUCGGAGCUCGUUGUUCAGAAGGUCCAAGGCAGAGAUAGUGAGAAGGUGAGGAAGGGGCCAUGCCCGUGGGGAGCAUCCCCGCACACAGCAUGGGGAGAGGCUGAUGUAAGGUGCCAGUGUCCCUGAACGGUGCUGCUUCUGAUUGAUGUAUAGCACCGCUCCUGGGCAGUACUGUUUCUGCAUACUGGAAGGUUACAGAACCAAAUCUUGUUUUAAAAAGAAAAAGCAUUGCCAUUAGGUUGCUGGAGUAUUUUAUAAAUAGAAAGCAUCUCUGUCAAUAAGCCUUAAGGUGUUGUUACAGCUGUUCUUUACAUCAGUUAGUAAAAAGGUUGAGGUCUGCCCAGAAGUAUACAUGACAACUUACUUUUCAUCCUGAGAUUUCAGAGCAGAGGACUAACUCGAGCAAAAAUCAGAGCUCUGGGGAGAGAGGGAUAUUUGUGAUGGUGUAACAGUGUGAUCUGGUACUAGUAAGUAGAGGACCAGGAUUCAAGACUUCUGUGGUCUGUUUUAAGCUCUGUCAGUCACAUAGCCAGUCUGAGCCUUGGUUUACCCAUCUAUAUAAGAAAUACAAAUAUCUCAAGACUUAGUGAAUUAAUGCUUAGAAGGAGCUGAGAAUUUUUAAAUGAAUGAUGUUAUAAAAAAGUAAAGAGUAAUUUUAGAGAUCUGUAUUUAAGGUAAUUUUAUUUGUCCUUUUAUUGGCGGUAAGAUAAACAAUCCUGGGUUUUCCUAUUACAUUUCUGUAAAUAGUGCAAGCGGGGUAAUGUUAUUGUUUUACUAAAGAGGAUCAUUGCAACAUAAAGGUAAUUUUUGCAUAUAGUAAAUACUGUACACCUUCAAAAGCAGAUACUGUAAGUUAUGUCUUAUUUCGGCUAAUAUGUUUUGAUGGGAUGAUCUUAAAGACUGCUUGUAUCUAUUGUAUGUAUGUUGCUGUGCUUGGAAUAUUAAAUAGUUGUCUGUUGGCAAUACCAGGUAUUUUUUCCA